CUGGCUCAGGAUGAACGCUAGCUACAGGCUUAACACAUGCAAGUCGAGGGGCAGCAUUGGAGUAGCAAUACUUCAGAUGGCGACCGGCGCACGGGUGAGUAACACGUAUCCAACCUGCCGCUUACUCGGGGAUAGCCUUUCGAAAGAAAGAUUAAUACCCGAUGGUAUAAAGAGUUCGCAUGUUCUCUUUAUUAAAGAAUUUCGGUAAGCGAUGGGGAUGCGUUCCAUUAGAUAGUUGGCGGGGUAACGGCCCACCAAGUCUACGAUGGAUAGGGGGUUCUGAGAGGAAGGUCCCCCACAUUGGAACUGAGACACGGUCCAAACUCCUACGGGAGGCAGCAGUGAGGAAUAUUGGUCAAUGGACGAGAGUCUGAACCAGCCAAAAGUAGCGUGAAGGAUGACUGCCCUAUGGGUUGUAAACUUCUUUUAUAAGGGAAUAAAGUGAGGGACGUGUCCCUUUUUGUAUGUACCUUAUGAAUAAGGAUCGGCUAACUCCGUGCCAGCCGCCGC
rnacentral:rRNA from 1 species